rnacentral:rRNA from 1 species
UACGUAGGUGACAAGCGUUGUCCGGAUUUACUGGGCGUAAAGAGCGCGCAGGCGGUCGUUCAAGUCGAGUGUGAAAGCCCCCGGCUCAACUGGGGAGGGUCAUUCGAUACUGAUCGACUCGAAGGCAGGAGAGGGAAGUGGAAUUCCCGGUGUAGUGGUGAAAUGCGUAGAUAUUCGGAAGAACACCAGUGGCGAAGGCGGCUCACUGGCCCGUUGCCGACGCUCAGGCGCGACAGCGUGGGGAGCAAACAGG